rnacentral:tRNA from 5 species
GAUCUUAUAGUUAAAUGGUUAUAACAUCAUCCCUUCACGAUGAGAGUACCAGUUCGAUUCUGGUUGAGAUUA